ensembl:lncRNA LINC02349 long intergenic non-protein coding RNA 2349
CUUUCAUAAUUUGUUCUAGGGCUAUGGAGAUGCUCAUAAAGGAUUCUCAUUCCUAUUGUAAGCCAGAGAGAAUGCAAUCCAAUGCAAUGUUUCGAUCAUGGAGUCUUUAUUGGACACAGGCUGGCAUGAGUUGAUGGCACCUGAAAAUCAGCAAGCUACAAAUGCUCCUGGGAGGAACAGCAUCUUCAGUCUCUAAACCUUGGUGCAGCUGAGUUUAUUAGAGGUUUUCCAGACCUUAACAAGAGCCUGUGACAGUACUAAGACCCUGGGGAUGGUGCGAAGGAGUCUGGAACCAGGAGGCUGCUGCGUUUUACAGGAUACUGGAGCCCAGUUCUCAAUCAAACGCUAGAGCUCAGAAAGACAUGCCUCUCAGAUCUGUCUACCUUUAAGCAUUUUUUUAAUUAAUAACUGGAUAUUGACCAUUAAAACCAUCACAGGUAUAGGAGUUUGUUGACUAAAAUUUGUAUUAUAGAUACAACUGAAAUGUUUACAAAUCUUUAUAAGAAAAUCAUUACUACUUGGGUCAGAAGCAAUGCAAGUCAAGCUUAGGUCUAUGGUUUUUGCUCCUGAUCAGUAAUAUGUAGAUGGCAUGUGUUCUCUUACCCUCUCUAAAUCUGGAAAGAUGCAUUUCAUAGUACCUCUAAUCUCAAAAAUUUUAACUUUCACUUUUAAUUGUUGAAAAUGUCAUUCUGAAAUCCAACAAUGAAUGAGUGAAUGUGUAUAUAUUCAUCAUAUACUUGUACACACACACACAAAUAAAACCUGUAUCUCACGGCCCACAUAUCUUGCUUAAGCUGCUCUUUCAGGAAGAUUUAUGACACUCUGCUUCACAAAGAAAGUUUAAAAGAGAGAAAGAAAACGAAAUGAAACAGUGACUGUUCCCUAGUGCAAUUACUCUGUCAAAUACUCCCCUAGGGAAAGGAAUUUGCUCUUAUUGUGAAAUAAAUUAAUAUAGAAACCAGA